UACGGAGGGUGCAAGCGUUAUCCGGAUUCACUGGGUUUAAAGGGUGCGUAGGUGGGCAAGUAAGUCAGUGGUGAAAUCUCCGGGCUUAACCCGGAAACUGCCAUUGAUACUAUUUGUCUUGAAUACUGUGGAGGUCAGCGGAAUAUGUCAUGUAGCGGUGAAAUGCUUAGAUAUGACAUAGAACACCAAUUGCGAAGGCAGCUGGCUACACAAAUAUUGACACUGAGGCACGAAAGCGUGGGGAUCAAACAGGA
rnacentral:rRNA from 1 species